UCUAUGCCGCGUGAAGGAUUAAGGUCCUCUGGAUUGUAAACUUCUUUUAUCUGGGACGAAAAAAGAUCUUUCUAGAUCACUUGACGGUACCAAAUGAAUAAGCACCGGCUAACUCCGUGCCAGCAGCCGCGGUAAUACGGAGGGUGCAAGCGUUAUCCGGAUUCACUGGGUUUAAAGGGUGCGUAGGCGGGCAGGUAAGUCAGUGGUGAAAUCCUGGAGCUCAACUCCAGAACUGCCAUUGAUACUAUCUGUCUUGAAUAUUGUGGAGGUAAGCGGAAUAUGUCAUGUAGCGGUGAAAUGCUUAGAUAUGACAUAGAACACCCAUUGCGAAGGCAGCUUACUACGCAUAUAUUGACGCUGAGGCACGAAAGCGUGGGGAUCAAACAGGAUUAGAUACCCUGGUAGUCCACGCCCUAAACGAUGGAUACUCGACAUACGCGAUACACUGUGUGUGUCUGAGCGAAAGCAUUAAGUAUCCCACCUGGGAAGUACGUUCGCAAGAAUGAAACUCAAAGGAAUUGGCGGGGGUCCGCACAAGCGGAGGAGUAUGUGGUUUAAUUCGAUGAUACGCGAGGAACCUUACCUGGGCUAGAAUGCUGGGAGACCGUGGGUGAAAGCUCACUUUGUAGCAAU
rnacentral:rRNA from 1 species